GAAUUCAACCGAUGAUAGUGGCGGUGGGCGAUCAUGAGGCAAACUACUGGCAGUACUAGCUCGUCGUAGAUCGAGGUGACGAUAGCCACCUUCGCCACCCGGUACAAUGGCAUCACUUUCACCAUCUAUUGUGUCACCAUCGGCUUCUUUGGCGCUAACUUCCAGGGCUACUCGACUACCCCAUACUGUGCCAAAUCAGCUGCUCCGACUGCUACUCCACCACCCCCACAGCUUCUAGAUACAUCGGCUACUACUUCAUCGCGUGGUACAGUUGAUGGGAGUCUAAUGAUUGAGGCUGCCAGCGUGAUUAGACCACCAUUACCUGCCAUCAGUAGGACAAUUGAAUAUGGGCCACGCCUCCUUAAGAUUGAUCCAGAGUGGCCAGUUCAUCUAGUCAUAUUAUACUUCAUCCACCAUGACCCAUAGUUUUCUUUUACAUUUAUAUCUAAAUGGGCAUAUGAUUGGAAGAGCGUGUUAGGUCUGGCAUUGGGAUCCUUAACUCGAUACCAUGGUGUAUCAGAGGUAAUACGCAUAAGCUAGCACCCGGUAAGGUAAAAGACUGUGCAAAUGGAGGGCUAAGUGUCAUAGACUGGAUAGGGUCCGAGAGGAGGUGCAGAAAAGCUGGAUGGCUUACUGCUCCUCUAAGUAGUUUCAAAGGAAGCAUGUUGCUGCCUUUAGAAAUUGGCGCAACGAGAAUGAGGCAAGGGAUCAGAACCGUCGCUCCAUACUAGGGGUUCGAUAUCUGUGGUUGUGCAAGCCAGGAGGAUGACAUGUGAGUUAGGCCGAAGCUGGCCCUGUUGAGUUAUUCGAGGCCAUGCGCACGCAACAAACACUAGAUGGCGGCCAUCCAUACAUCGACCGAUGCUCUCAGGAUGUCGUUGUGAGUACCAUGAGUUGGUAGAAGCUACUUCUCAGUCUGCUGAGAAAUCCAUAGAGCCAACACAAUCGGACACUAUAGAGUUAUUCCUCCAAGUGGCAAGCGGUGAGAAGAAGUGCUGCGUCUAUGGCAUGGGUGCUAAGGCACCUUCUUUCUUCAGCCAUGGUUGUCCUGCAGCUCUACUGCUAGGUCCUAAACGAUAGACAUCCCAGGUCCUUUAGAGACGCUCGUCAUCGAGAUUGUGCAACAAUAUGUGCGGUUUAUGUUAGAGGACGACAUACUUGUCUGCCACUUGGAGCAGGAGGAGGUUUCUUUUGGUAUCCGUACAGAGAUCUGACACCUUAUCCAAAAUGUCCUCACGGUAUUUCUAACACCCAAAACAUCCUCCUCUGCCCUAGCCCAGUACUAGCAGUAGCAAGAUGCCAAGAUCAGCCGGUCACCGACCCAUAAAUUAGAUUUUCUUUAUUCUUUAUUUAUUUUUCUACUGUACACUACAAUAAAUAUUUUUUUAAUUUAUAAUACAAUUUUGUAUAUAUUGCUUAUAUAUAUGUCAGUCAAAUCUGAUUAACUAGUUAUUAAUAAUUUAAUAUUUUAAAAUUAUUAACACAAAUAUAAAAUAAAAAAUAAAAAUAAAAUUGUAAAAGAGGAAUGUUCUUAUAAAAGAGAGGAGGAACGAUGAUGCAUCAUUUGGAGGAGAAUGGAAGAGAAUAAGAAAGAGAAAGAAAAGAAAAAGAGAAGAAAGUAAAGGCAAAAAGAAAUUAAAAAGAGGAGGAAUGAUGAUGCACUUGUUCUUCUAAAACAAAUGUUCUUAUUUUUUUAAUUUAGAAACAGAAAAUACAAAAAAUCCAUGCACAUAUAUGUAAGUACCUAGUAUGUCACAGGCAUGACGUAUGUCACAACAACGACAAAGACUUUUCUAGCCAAGCGUCAUGAUUCGCGACUUACGUCAUACGUGUGACACAGACUCGACAAUAAGCCAAAUAUAAUGUCGUGCAGGUGUGGUAGGCGUCAUGACCAUGAUAGAGACUUCUCAGUUGGUGUAUGUCACGACUUAUGACACACGUCAUAGGCGUGACUCGCCAGUUAUGCAAAAUAUAUUCUCUUUUUUAGC